rnacentral:rRNA from 1 species
ACGUAAGGGGCAAGCGUUGUUCGGAAUUAUUGGGCGUAAAGGGCAUGUAGGCGGUUAGGUAAGCUUGAUGUGAAAUCCCCGGGCUCAACCCGGGAACUGCAUUGGGAACUGCCAGACUAGAAUCACAGAGGGGAAAUCAGAAUUCCUAGUGUAGGGGUGAAAUCUGUAGAUAUUAGGAAGAAUACCAGUAGCGAAGGCGGGUUUCUGGCUGAUGAUUGACGCUGAGGUGCGAAAGUGUGGGGAGCGAACAG